AUGGAAUCACUUACUUUACUAUAUCUUUUUUUUGCAUUCGCAAUUUUUGUUAUAGCCCUUGCGGCUGCUGAAGCCGCUAUUGGACUAUCCAUUCUUUCUUCCAUCCAUCGUAAUAGGAAAUCCACUCGUAUCAAUCAAUCUAAUUUAUUGAAUAAUUAG
rnacentral:rRNA from 1 species